UGUCAACGUUAUGCCUAUUGUUAUUUUGGACUAUAGGGUGUAGUUUUUAAAGUCAUACACAAUAUGGCGGCGAUUAUGCGGAAAUGAAAUUGAAUGUUACUUCGAACACGUUCUUCUACAAAAUAACCGACCUGUAUUUAGUGCUAUUGCUUUAACAUCAAUCGAAGCAAAAAUGGCAUCAAUGUAUGCGUCUAAAAAUGUUAAAUUUAGAUGGAGACAAUCCAGAAAUGAGCUGCCAGGAAGUGAUCGAUUUCGGACACGAAGAUUGAGGAGUGCCUGGAUACAAGGCUAGUAUUGUUAACAUCAUUUGAUACAAUCAACUGGAACAAAGCUGAAAUGGCUGCCUGACCUGACUUAAAAAUUGGAUGGCAGUACAUCAGACUAGAAGAUUACAAGUAUUGAGGUGGACAAAAUGAAACCUGAGCCUACCAAAGCUGACAGAUUGCACAAGAAACACAUAAAUGCAGAUUGGAAGAUUCAUUCUCUGGAAAGUAGAAAAGGGCAUGUUACAUACUGUUAUCACUGCCAUGACAGAAACCAUAUUGAGGAGCUGGUCCACCUGUAGGAAGAAUUGCGCUAUUGGUUGGAGCAGCACUAUUACCCAACCAUACACCAGCACUUAGUUUGUCAUAGGGAGCAUUUCUGAGCAGUUAUGGAGACCACUAACUAUGCAGUUGUUGCAGUGAAACUUGCACCAGUGUGUUUUCUGUGGAGAUAAAGAGAUAGUGUCCAGCAAUGAAGACCCAACUCAAGAUCUGACCUUGUAAGGCCAAUAUGAAAUAACUGUGUUUGAAAAUGGGAAAAACCUGCAGUCAGGAAUGCACGGAAAUCAUCAAAAGAACAGUGUUAAAUUAAUCUUGAAUAACUUGACAUUUAUUUUGUUUGACAUAUUUAUUCAUGGUGCAGUGAAAACAUUCUUUUUUUCUCAUGGUUAUUUAAAUUCAGAAUUGAUAGGAGGGAACAUCACUAUGUAGUUUCAUGUUCAUAGUCAGAUCAAAACCCAUGUACAUGCCCAAAUGAGCAUUCGAAAAUAUCAAAAUGGUACUUGUUGUAUGUAGUGUAAGUUAAUUAACAUAAUAAACAAAAAUAUUU